UACAUACAACCUACAGGACCUCGGCGCGA
rnacentral:sRNA from 1 species